CCUACGGGAGGCAGCAGUGGGGGAUAUUGCACAAUGGGGGGAACCCUGAUGCAGCGACGCCGCGUGGGUGAAGGAGCGUUUCGGCGCGUAAAGCCCUAUCGGCAGGGAAGAAGAUGACGGUACCUGGCCAAGAAGCCCCGGCUAACUACGUGCCAGCAGCCGCGGUAAUACGUCGGGGGCAAGCGUUAUCCGGAUUUACGGGGUGUAAAGGGGGCGCAGACGGGAAUGCAAGCCAGGAGUGAAAGCCCGGGGCCCAACCCCGGGACUGCUCUUGAAACUGGAUGGCUGGAGUACAGGAGAGGCAGGCGGAAUUCCUAGUGUAGCGGUGAAAUGCGUAGAUAUUAGGAGGAACACCGGUGGCGAAGGCGGCCUGCUGGACUGUGACUGACGUUGAGGCCCGAAGGCGUGGGGAGCAAACAGGAUUAGAUACCCUUGUAGUC
rnacentral:rRNA from 1 species